rnacentral:rRNA from 1 species
UACAGAGGGGGCAAGCGUUAUUCGGAAUUAUUGGGCGUAAAGGGCGCGUAGGCGGCUUGGCAAGUGGAAGGUGAAAUCCCUCGGCUUAACCGAGGAACUGCCCUCCAAACUGCUUUGCUUGAGGCCGGGAGAGGUGAGUGGAAUUCCCAGUGUAGCGGUGAAAUGCGUAGAUAUUGGGAGGAACACCAGUGGCGAAGGCGGCUCACUGGACCGGUUCUGACGCUGAGGUGCGAAAGCGUGGGGAGCAAACAGG